CACGGUCUCUCGCGUCGGAUCUCUGACCCGUGGUUUGAUCAUCCAUCCUCCUUUCCAACCUCAACCCCGCAUGCCUCCGGUCUCAGCCCGACGAAGACGAAGAUGGAGACAAAGGCAGAGAAAUACCAUCCUCCAUCUGAAUGAGAAAUAGAGGGGAAGGAGAAUAUUACUCCGAUUGGCUCAAAGAUCACAAUAAUUUCAACUUCGUGCCUUGUUUUUUAUGUAUUUGUUUAUCAUAACCAAUGUUUCAUUUGUUUGCUUAGGAAAGCCUAAUGGGUUUUUUAUUACUCUGCUUAAUUGAAGUGUUUGGUAGAGUUAAAAAUUUCCUGAAAUGUUUAAUUUUAAAUUGCUCUCACUGUCUUG